GAGCAAAUCUCAAAAAAACAAUCUCAGUUCAGACUGCAGGCUGCAACUCGCCUGCACGAAGUCGGAAUUGCUAGUAAUCGUAGGUCAGCAUACUACGGUGAAUACGUUCCCGGGCCUUGUACACACCGCCCGUCAAACCAUGAGAGUUGGCAACACCCGAAGUCGGUAGUCUAACCGCAAGGAGGACGCCGCCGAAGGUGGGGUUGAUGAUUAGGGUUAAGUCGUAACAAGGUAGC
rnacentral:rRNA from 1 species